GUAGUCCACGCCGUAAACGAUGAAUACUAGGUGUGGGGGUUUCAACACCUCCGUGCCGCCGCUAACGCAUUAAGUAUUCCGCCUGGGGAGUACGGUCGCAAGAUUAAAACUCAAAGGAAUUGACGGGGACCCGCACAAGUAGCGGAGCAUGUGGUUUAAUUCGAAGCAACGCGAAGAACCUUACCUACACUUGACAUCCCUUGCAUUACUCUUAAUCGAGGAAAUCCCUUCGGGGACAAGGUGACAGGUGGUGCAUGGUUGUCGUCAGCUCGUGUCGUGAGAUGUUGGGUUAAGUCCCGCAACGAGCGCAACCUUGUCGUUAGUUACUACCAUUAAGUUGAGGACUCUAGCGAGACUGCCUGGGUUAACCAGGAGGAAGGUGGGGAUGACGUCAAAUCAUCAUGCCCCUUAUGUGUAGGGCUACACACGUGCUACAAUGGCUGGUACAGAGAGAUGCAAUACCGCGAGGUGGAGCCAAACUUAAAAACCAGUCUCAGUUCGGAUUGUAGGCUGAAACUCGCCUACAUGAAGCUGGAGUUACUAGUAAUCGCGAAUCAGAAUGUCGCGGUGAAUACGUUCCCGGGUCUUGUACACACCGCCCGUCACACCAUGAGAGUUGGCAAUACCCGAAGUCCGUGAGCUAACCGCAAGGAGGCAGCGGCCGAAGGUAGGGUCAGCGAUUGGGGUGAAGUCGUAACAAGGUAGCCGUAGGAGAAC
rnacentral:rRNA from 1 species